ensembl:lncRNA
UGCCUUUGUAUGUAAAUAACAACUGAGAGAGUUGAAAUGUUUAUGACCGGUGCGUUUUAUUAAGAUGAAUUGAUAACUUAAGAUUAAACUAAAAAACACAAUUAUACAAUUGAUCAAUCUGUACAAAACAUAAAACCGUCCGUAUCGACUACACCCUCCCCCUCCCCCUCCCCCUCACACAUCAUCCUCCCCCACACACAUCAUCCUCCAAAUGCAUUGAAAUGACAUCGUUUGACUUUUCCAAUGUUUUCCAAUGGAAUUACAAUCGGUUACAGUGACAGCAUUUCAUUAUAGUUCAACAACAAUCAUGAACCGAAAAAACAACAGUUCAUUAAAAAAACUAAAAAACAAUGGAGGUAUAUGAGAAGGCCUGAAAUCAAUUUUCAAACGAGGACAAAAAACCAAUCACUUCUCUACACUUCCAUAGACUGCUAGUCCGAAAUGGUAUCCUAUAUAGUGCACUACUUUUCACCAGAUCCCUAUGGGCCCUGGUCAACAGUAGGGCACUAGAUAGGGAAUAUGGUGCCCUAGUUGUGUGUUGACAGGCUGACAGUACCGUCUGUUAGAUAACGCCAUUGGUACUGUCAGACGGACUCACACACUCAACAGCUACCUACCUUUGCUUCUAUACACACGCACGCACACACACACGGGGCCUCAAGCGCUAUAUUUCCAUGGUUACAAUACCACCAUCACACACAGAUACAGCUACGGUAGGAGUUCAACAGAACACACUGAAUUAGCCUGGAAUCACAACUGAUUUGGCUACAUUUCACUGUUGUUUCAAAUGGUGAGCGCAGCACUCGAGUCUGGUUUAACCAGGCUAACGCUGAAAUAUUAGGAACGUGACUUAGCAGGAACCUCUCCGUCCUACAUCAGUGAUGAAGCAGUGGAACUAUAGAUGGGUUGGUUACCUGGCAACGUUACAACGAUGAUGUAAACUGAUUUAUGGUUUUUCAAUAAACAUUUAGAGACUAAAUAUAGUUUACACGUUGUCCUAUAAUCCUACGAUUGUAAGCCAACCCCGUCAGUUUCCUGCCUCUCGGAUGCGCGCGCCAGGGUCGGCGUCAAAUUCCAUUUCAAUUCGUAAAAAGUAAACAAUUCACAAAAAAAUGUUUUCAUUGAAAAGAGAAAUUCGAACUUCCAGAAUUGACUGGAAUUGAAAUGGAAUUCACCCCAACCCUGGCAUUGGUUUUGUACGUAAACAUCCCACCCGUAUACAGGAUAUGUAGUGACCAUUAGUGCCACCAGGAAUGUCAUUUUAGUUCUAUUUCUGGUGGUAGUAAUAUUAGCCUGGAUCCCAGUCUGUUUGUGCUCUCUUCCCAACUCCAUAUGGAACUGUCAUGUAAAACAUGGUUUGGCUUGACAAUGGACUAGGCGAAAACAGACCUGAGACCAGGCUAUAGUAAUAUCACUACAUUAGAGGCAGAUCUGAGACCAGGCUAUAGUAAUAUCACUACAUUAGAGGCAGAUCUGAGACCAGGCUAUAGUAAUAUCACUACAUUAGAGGCAGAUCUGAGACCAGGCUAUAGUAAUAUCACUACAUUAGAGGCAGAUCUGAGACCAGGCUAUAGUAAUAUCACUACAUUAGAGGCAGAUCUGAGACCAGGCUAUAGUAAUAUCAUUACAUUAGAGGCAGAUCUGAGACCAGGCUAUAGUAAUAUCACUACAUUAGAGGCAGAUCUGGGACCAGGCUAUAGUAAUAUCACUACAUUAGAGGCAGAUCUGGGACCAGGCUAUAGUAAUAUCACUACAUUAGAGGCAGAUCUGAGACCAGGCUAUAGUAAUAUCACUACAUUAGAGGCAGAUCUGAGACCAGGCUAUAGUAAUAUCACUACAUUAGAGGCAGAUCUGGGAGCCUCAACGUUUACACACAUCACUGUUCCACUGCCUAAAGCAAGUGGCUUAUAGAGAAGAGAGGAUAUACAUGAAGGGGUUAAUAUGGAACAAGCAGACCUCAGCAGAACAGAUAUCUACUACUACUAAUAAUAAUGACCUAGCUACGACCUAGUAAGGCAUAAUAAUCAUUUUGGUUGGGACUAUAUUAAUGAAGUAGAAAGCCAUGCACUGUGUUGAAGUAAGAGGCAGCUUGGUGUAAACAGGCUUUAAUGUGACGGACUGUGAUAACACUGGACAACGUGAUAAGAGCCAGAUAAGAUCUGGGCAAAAAGUACAUAACUGUGUCUAAAAAUACUUUUAAAUACUUCAUAUUUGAGAAAAGACUGGGAAAUAAUUUUAAAAGUAUUUCCAAGUAUUUUGAGGUGCGCGUGAUUUAGUUUGGUGGGUUUGCACUUUUGGGACUAUUCUGUUGGUCCCAUUGAAUAAGGCAAACAGAAUCAGCUCAAGUAUUUAGAAGUAUUUGAUCCAGGUCUGUCUGGUGAUAGCUGGAGCUAUAUAGAGGAUGGUUGGCCAGUAGGGUACGUUCUAUGGUAGAUGGGAGUAGAGGUGGAUAGUAGGAACAUUCUAUGGUAGAUGGGAGUAGAGGUGGUUAGUAGGAACGUUCUAUGGUAGAUGAGAGUAGAGGUGUAGAGGUGGCCAGUAGGAACGUUCUAUGGUAGAUGGGAGUAGAGGUGGUUAGUAGGAACGUUCUAUGGUAGAUGAGAGUAGAGGUGGUUAGUUGGCCAGUAGGAACGUUCUAUGGUAGAUGGGAGUAGAGGUGGUUAGUAGGAACGUUCUAUGGUAGAUGAGAGUAGAGGUGGUUAGUUGGCCAGUAGGAACGUUCUAUGGUAGAUGGGAGUAGAGGUGGUUAGUAGGAACGUUCUAUGUUAGAUGGGUGUAGAGUUAUUGGAUUUUAAUGAGUGGUAGAGGGAGGCACUGAGAGUGAACAGCAGCUAACCUAAAUAAUGUGACCCAGUAUAUGGAUGUGUCUUCCUAUUCCCUAUCUAGUGCACAACUUUAGAUCAGAGCCCUAUUCCCUAUAUAGUGGUACUACUAUAGACCAGAGCCCUAUUCCCUAUAUAGUGGUACUACUAUAGACCAGAGCCCUAUUCCCUAUAUAGUGGUACUACUAUAGACCAGAGCCCUAUUCCCUAUAUAGUGGUACUACUAUAGACCAGAGCCCUAUUCCCUAUGUAGUGCACUACUUUUCACAAAAGCCCUAUGGGCCUGGUCAACGGUAGUGAACUAAUAGGGAAUAGGGUGACAUUUGGGACAAAGAUUUAAUCUAUGUAUUUAAAAAAAUGAUGUUUUACUAACAGAUGCUUCUUGACAUGAAUGAAAACUGAUAGACAUUCUGAUUAUGAAGACGUGUCAUAACGAGACCAGCAGUACAAGACUAGAUGACCACCAUGAUUCCUAGACCAGCAGUACAAGACUAGAUGACCAUCAUGAUUCC